rnacentral:lncRNA from 1 species
CUCAGUGUUGUUGUUGUUGUUACUCAGUGUUGACUGUUGUUGUUACUCAAUGUUGUUGUUGUUGUUACUCAGUGUUGACUGUUGUUGUUACUCAGUGUUGUUGCUGUUACUCAGUGUUGUUGUUGUUGUUACUCAGUGUUGACUGUUGUUGUUACUCAGUGUUGUUGCUGUUACUCAGUGUUGACUGUUGUUGUUACUCAGUGUUGUUGUUACUCAGUGUUGACUGUUGUUGUUACUCAGUGUUGUUGUUACUCAGUGUUGACUGUUGUUGUUACUCAGUGUUGUUGUU